UACCGGGUGACCGGAUGCCGAUCUCGAAAACCUGUCCCAGUUCGGACUGGAGUCUGCAACCCGACUCCACGAAGUUGGAUUCGCUAGUAAUCGCGCAUCAGCCAUGGCGCGGUGAAUACGUUCCCGGGCCUUGUACACACCGCCCGUCAAGCCAUGGGAGCCGGGGGCGCCUGAAGUCCGGGACCGCGAGGACCGGCCUAGGGCGAAACUGGUGACUGGGGCUAAGUCGUAACAAGGUAAC
rnacentral:rRNA from 1 species